AGUGAACGCUGGCGGUAGGCCUAACACAUGCAAGUCGAACGGCAGCACAGGAGAGCUUGCUCUCUGGGUGGCGAGUGGCGGACGGGUGAGGAAUACAUCGGAAUCUACUCUGCCGUGGGGGAUAACGUAGGGAAACUUACGCUAAUACCGCAUACGACCUACGGGUGAAAGCAGGGGACCUUCGGGCCUUGCGCGAUUGAAUGAGCCGAUGUCGGAUUAGCUAGUUGGCGGGGUAAAGGCCCACCAAGGCGACGAUCCGUAGCUGGUCUGAGAGGAUGAUCAGCCACACUGGAACUGAGACACGGUCCAGACUCCUACGGGAGGCAGCAGUGGGGAAUAUUGGACAAUGGGCGCAAGCCUGAUCCAGCCAUACCGCGUGGGUGAAGAAGGCCUUCGGGUUGCAAAGCCCUUUUGUUGGGAAAGAAAUCCAGCUGGCUAAUACCCGGUUGGGAUGACGGUACCCAAAGAAUAAGCACCGGCUAACUUCGUGCCAGCCGCCGCAGUAA
rnacentral:rRNA from 1 species